rnacentral:rRNA from 1 species
AUUGAACGCUGGCGGCAGGCCUAACACAUGCAAGUCGAGCGUGAAAGGGCUUCGGCCUGAGUAAAGCGGCGGACGGGUGAGUAACGCGUAGGAAUCUACCUGGUAGUGGGGGAUAACGUUCCGAAAGGAACGCUAAUACCGCAUACGUUCUGAGGAAGAAAGCAGGGGACCGCAAGGCCUUGCGCUAUCAGAUGAGCCUGCGUCCGAUUAGCUAGUUGGUAGUAGUAAAGGCCUACCAAGGCGACGAUCGGUAACUGGUCUGAGAGGAUGAUCAGUCACACUGGAACUGAGACACGGUCCAGACUCCUACGGGAGGCAGCAGUGGGGAAUAUUGGACAAUGGGGCAACCUGAUCCAGCCAUGCCGCGUGUGUGAAGAAGGCCUU